AUACCUUUCUCGGCCUUUUGGCUAAGAUCAAGUGUAGUAUCUGUUCUUAUCAGUUUAAUAUCUGAUAUGUGGGUCAUCGGCCCACUCGAUAUUAAUCUUAUUUUUUAUGGGGAAAGACCCGUCACCAUAGCUUGCUAUUGGGGUCUUUAAGCGUCGCCUUGGUGUUGCACUACUGCCUUGGCCAGGCGCACCCCUG
rfam:Helianthus annuus linkage group 3, whole genome shotgun sequence.